UGUAAACAUCCUUGACUGGAAGCUGGGGUUCGAACAGCAGGAGCUUUCAGUCGGAUGUUUGCA
rnacentral:pre_miRNA from 1 species